rnacentral:rRNA from 1 species
ACGUGGUAUCCUGUCUGAAUAUGGGGGGACCAUCCUCCAAGGCUAAAUACUCCUGACUGACCGAUAGUGAACCAGUACCGUGAGGGAAAGGCGAAAAGAACCCCGGCGAGGGGAGUGAAAAAGAACCUGAAACCGUGUACGUACAAGCAGUGGGAGCACAGGUUUACCUGUGUGACUGCGUACCUUUUGUAUAAUGGGUCAGCGACUUAUAUUCUGUAGCAAGGUUAACCGUAUAGGGGAGCCGUAGGGAAACCGAGUCUUAACCGGGCGUUAAGUUGCAGGGUAUAGACCCGAAACCCGGUGAUCUAGCCAUGGGCAGGUUGAAGGUUGGGUAACACUAACUGGAGGACCGAACCGACUAAUGUUGAAAAAUUAGCGGAUGACCUGUGGCUGGGGGUGAAAGGCCAAUCAAACCGGGAGAUAGCUGGUUCUCCCCGAAAGCUAUUUAGGUAGCGCCUCGUGAAUUCAUCUCCGGGGGUAGAGCACUGUUUCGGCUAGGGGGCCAUCCCGGCUUACCAACCCGAUGCAAACUGCGAAUACCGGAGAAUGUUAUCACGGGAGACACACGGCGGGUGCUAACGUCCGUCGUGAAGAGGGAAACAACCCAGACCGCCAGCUAAGGUCCCAAAGUCAUGGUUAAGUGGGAAACGAUGUGGGAAGGCCCAGACAGCCAGGAUGUUGGCUUAGAAGCAGCCAUCAUUUAAAGAAAGCGUAAUAGCUCACUGGUCGAGUCGGCCUGCGCGGAAGAUGUAACGGGGCUAAACCAUG